CGUUUGAGUAUUGGGGCCAAGGAACCAUGGUGAUCGUAACAUCAGUUCCCUCAGCUGCCCCAUCUCUUUUCCCUCUCAUUGCUUCUCCUGGGAGCGAGGGCAGUGAAAAGGUCACCAUCGGGUGCUUGGCCAAGAAUUUCCUUCCUGACUCGGUCACUUUCUCCUGGAACAAUAAGAACAAUGUCAGCGACAGUACAAUCACGUCCAAGAAGUUUCCUUCAGUACUCGGCUCCGGUGGGACUUACACCGCAAGUUCCCAGGCACUUGUCCCAUCUGCUGAUUGGACAAAUUAUGAUCCAUUUUACUGCAAGGCUGACCACCCUUCUGGAAACGCAGUGAUACGAGUGAUCCGUGGCUGCGAAACGCCAGAAGUACUGCCAAACCCUGAGAUGUCUGUACGUGCACCACCCAUUCAAGCCUUUUUUGGCAGUUACCUGAAUGCCACCAUCACCUGCAGCGUAGUUAACCUUCCCUCCAGCAAGUACACACUUCAGUGGCUGAAGAAGGGACAGGUACUUGACUCUGGCUUCACCACCACCCAGCCAAUCCGAGAGGGCCGUGGUUACAGCAUAAAGAGUGAACUCAUAGUCACCAAGAGAGACUGGCUCAGCGACAUUACCUUCUCUUGUGCGGUGAAUGGCAAGGACUUCAAUGACACACUCAAGAUCAACAAGAACUCUUUUUGUGAAGGUGGCAUUUCUUGUAACGACGAUGUCCGUGUGGAAGCAAUCCCACCAUCCUUCGCUGACAUCUUCCAGACCAAGGUAGCCAAGCUGACCUGCAGAAUUUCAAACGUACCUCUUGAACUGGAUCUUUCGGCACUGAAUGUUACCUGGACAAAAGAAUCUGACCAAACACUACUGAAGACCGAACUUGGAAAGCCAGAAGAUCAGGCUAACGGGCUUACUUACAUUGAUGCUACAGCCACCGUGUGCGCCACAGAGUGGGACAGCGAUGAAACGUUCACGUGCAAAGUUAAUUUCCCAGGCUUACUUCCUGAACCUAUCGACAAAACUUUGAAAAAGGUUAAUGAUGGCCCCCAAUCUACCCCAGCCGUCUAUGUCCUUCCCCCUACCUCAGAAGAACUAGCUCUGCGAGAAACAGCCACCCUCACUUGCCUAGUGAAAGGUUUCUCCCCCAAAGGUAUCUUUCUGCAGUGGCUCCACAAUGAUCAGCCAGUGAAUUCUGCAGAUUUCUACCUCAGUGAACCCAAAGAAGAGCCCAGGACACAAGGAAAGUUCUUCGUCUAUAGCAUAUUGUACAUCAGUGAAAGUGACUGGAGUCAUGGAGACCGUUACACUUGUGUCGUGGGACAUGAGGCGCUGCCCAUGAACAGCACUCAGAAGACCGUGGACAAGAACACGGGUAAACCAACUGUUGUCAACGUCUCCUUAGUGCUCUCCGAUACGGCCACAACUUGCAACUAAACACCAUGAUAGUUUCUCUCAUGCAUCCUCCAUGCUCCCAUUACCACCAGAAUCUGUUUCCUCCUUGUGUCUCUUCCUGCUUCAUUAUUCAUUCUUCAGUUGAAAAUUGGGGUUUGAUUCUAAGGAAAGAUGUGUCUCAAAUGUUAAAAUGUUAACUGACCACAUCUUUUGGAAGAAAUAAAUAUUUUGCAAUAAAGUAUUGAUUUUUUUCAAACAAUGAAAGAAAA